GAUGAACGCUAGCGGCAGGCCUAAUACAUGCAAGACGAACGGUAAGUUGAGUAGCAAUACUUAGCCAAGAGUGUCGUACGGGUGCGUAACACGUAUGCAACCUACCCUAUACAGGAGGAUAGCCUAGGGAAACCUGGAUUAACCCUUCAUAGUAUUAUUGGAUGGCAUCAUUUGAUAAUUAAAACUGAGGUGGUAUAGGAUGGGCAUGCGUCUGAUUAGUUAGUUGGCGGGGUAAUGGCCCACCAAGACGAUGAUCAGUAGGGGUUCUGAGAGGAAGAUCCCCCACACUGGCACUGAGAUACGGGCCAGACUCCUACGGGAGGCAGCAGUAGGGAUAUGGUCAAUGGAUGCAAGUCUGAACCAGCCAUGCCGCGUGCAGGAAGAAGG
rnacentral:rRNA from 1 species